CAGCUCAGAAUCAACGCUGGCGGCGUGCCUAACACAUGCAAGUCGAACGAGAAAAUCCGGCUGUAGCAAUACAGCCGGGUGAGUAAAGUGGCGUACGGGUGAGUAACACGUAGCUAACCUACCCUUGAGCGGGGGAUAACCUGGGGAAACCCGGGCUAAUACCGCAUAACAUCCCGGCAGCACAGGCUGUUGGGAUCAAAGGCCCGCAAGGGUCACUCGAGGAGGGAGUUGCGGCCGAUUAGCUAGUUGGUGAGGUAACGGCCCACCAAGGCGAUGAUCGGUAGCCGGCCUGAGAGGGCGCACGGCCACACUGGCACUGAAACACGGGCCAGACUCCUACGGGAGGCAGCAGUGGGGAAUUUUGCACAACGUCCGAAAGGGUGAUGCAGCAACGCCGCGUGAGGGAUGAAGGCCUUCGGGUCGUAAACCUCUUUCGACCGGGAAAAACGGCCCGCUGAAUAGGCGGGUCUGAUGGUACUGGUGAAGAAGCUCCGGC
rnacentral:rRNA from 1 species